UACAGAGGGUGCGAGCGUUAAUCGGAAUUACUGGGCGUAAAGCGCACGUAGGUGGCGACGUAAGUCGGGUGUGAAAGCCCCGGGCUCAACCUGGGAAUUGCAUUCGAGACUGCAUUGCUGGAGUACGGAAGAGGAAGGCGGAAUUCCCGGUGUAGCGGUGAAAUGCGUAGAUAUCGGGAGGGACAUCAGUGGCGAAGGCGGCCUUCUGGGACGUUACUGACGCUGAGACGCGAAAGCGUGGGGAGCAAACAGG
rnacentral:rRNA from 1 species